rnacentral:rRNA from 1 species
UGUGAACUCGAAGAGUAGGGCGGGACACGUGGUAUCCUGUCUGAAUAUGGGGGGACCAUCCUCCAAGGCUAAAUACUCCUGACUGACCGAUAGUGAACCAGUACCGUGAGGGAAAGGCGAAAAGAACCCCGGCGAGGGGAGUGAAAAAGAACCUGAAACCGUGUACGUACAAGCAGUGGGAGCACCUUCGGGUGUGACUGCGUACCUUUUGUAUAAUGGGUCAGCGACUUAUAUUCUGUAGCAAGGUUAACCGUAUAGGGGAGCCGAAGGGAAACCGAGUCUUAACUGGGCGUUAAGUUGCAGGGUAUAGACCCGAAACCCGGUGAUCUAGCCAUGGGCAGGUUGAAGGUUGGGUAACACUAACUGGAGGACCGAACCGACUAAUGUUGAAAAAUUAGCGGAUGACUUGUGGCUGGGGGUGAAAGGCCAAUCAAACCGGGAGAUAGCUGGUUCUCCCCGAAAGCUAUUUAGGUAGCGCCUCGUGAACUCAUCUUCGGGGGUAGAGCACUGUUUCGGCUAGGGGGCCAUCCCGGCUUACCAACCCGAUGCAAACUACGAAUACCGAAGAAUGUUAUCACGGGAGACACACGGCGGGUGCUAACGUCCGUCGUGAAGAGGGAAACAACCCAGACCGCCAGCUAAGGUCCCAAAGUCAUGGUUAAGUGGGAAACGAUGUGGGAAGGCACAGACAGCCAGGAUGUUGGCUUAGAAGCAGCCAUCAUUUAAAGAAAGCGUAAUAGCUCACUGGUCGAGUCGGCCUGCGCGGAAGAUGUAACGGGGCUAAACCAUGCACCGAAGCUGCGGCAGCGACGCUUAUGCGUUGUUGGGUAGGGGAGCGUUCUGUAAGCCGUUGAAGGUGUCCUGUGAGGGGUGCUGGAGGUAUCAGAAGUGCGAAUGCUGACAUAAGUAACGAUAAUGCGGGUGAAAAGCCCGCACGCCGGAAGACCAAGGGUUCCUGUCCAACGUUAAUCGGGGCAGGGUGAGUCGACCCCUAAGGCGAGGCCGAAAGGCGUAGUCGAUGGGAAACAGGUUAAUAUUCCUGUACUUGGUGUUACUGCGAAGGGGGGACGGAGAAGGCUAUGUUAGCCGGGCGACGGUUGUCCCGGUUUAAGCAUGUAGGCGGAGGUUCCAGGUAAAUCCGGUACCUUAUUAACGCUGAGGUGUGAUGACGAGGCACUACGGUGCUGAAGUAACAAAUGCCCUGCUUCCAGGAAAAGCCUCUAAGCAUCAGGUAACAUCAAAUCGUACCCCAAACCGACACAGGUGGUCAGGUAGAGAAUACCAAGGCGCUUGAGAGAACUCGGGUGAAGGAACUAGGCAAAAUGGUGCCGUAACUUCGGGAGAAGGCACGCUGAUAUGUAGGUGAAGCCCCUGCGGGUGGAGCUGAAAUCAGUCGAAGAUACCAGCUGGCUGCAACUGUUUAUUAAAAACACAGCACUGUGCAAACACGAAAGUGGACGUAUACGGUGUGACGCCUGCCCGGUGCCGGAAGGUUAAUUGAUGGGGUUAGCGGCAACGCGAAGCUCUUGAUCGAAGCCCCGGUAAACGGCGGCCGUAACUAUAACGGUCCUAAGGUAGCGAAAUUCCUUGUCGGGUAAGUUCCGACCUGCACGAAUGGCGUAAUGAUGGCCAGGCUGUCUCCACCCGAGACUCAGUGAAAUUGAACUCGCUGUGAAGAUGCAGUGUACCCGCGGCAAGACGGAAAGACCCCGUGAACCUUUACUAUAGCUUGACACUGAACACUGGUCCUUGAUGUGUAGGAUAGGUGGGAGGCUUUGAAGCGUGGACGCCAGUCUGCGUGGAGCCGACCUUGAAAUACCACCCUUUAAUGGCUGGUGUUCUAACGUAGACCCGUAAUCCGGGUUGCGGACAGUGUCUGGUGGGUAGUUUGACUGGGGCGGUCUCCUCCCAAAGAGUAACGGAGGAGCACGAAGGUUAGCUAAUCCUGGUCGGACAUCAGGAGGUUAGUGCAAUGGCAUAAGCUAGCUUGACUGCGAGAGUGACGGCUCGAGCAGGUGCGAAAGCAGGUCAUAGUGAUCCGGUGGUUCUGAAUGGAAGGGCCAUCGCUCAACGGAUAAAAGGUACUCCGGGGAUAACAGGCUGAUACCGCCCAAGAGUUCAUAUCGACGGCGGUGUUUGGCACCUCGAUGUCGGCUCAUCACAUCCUGGGGCUGAAGUAGGUCCCAAGGGUAUGGCUGUUCGCCAUUUAAAGUGGUACGCGAGCUGGGUUUAGAACGUCGUGAGACAGUUCGGUCCCUAUCUGCCGUGGGCGCUGGAGAAUUGAGGGGGGCUGCUCCUAGUACGAGAGGACCGGAGUGGACGCAUCACUGGUGUUCGGGUUGUCAUGCCAAUGGCAUUGCCCGGUAGCUAAAUGCGGAAGAGAUAAGUGCUGAAAGCAUCUAAGCACGAAACUUGCCCCGAGAUGAGUUCUCCCUGACCCUUUAAGGGUCCUGAAGGAACGUUGAAGACUACGACGUUGAUAGGUCGGGUGUGUAAGCGCAGCGAUGCGUUGAGCUAACCGAUACUAAUGAACCGUGAGGCUUAACCUUACAACGCCGAAGCUGUU